rnacentral:rRNA from 1 species
GGGAUAACCUUCCGAAAGGGGGGCUAAUACCGGAUCAUGUCCCUUUGGGGCAUCACAAGGGGAGCAAAGGGGGCGCCCGCAAGGGGCUCUCGCUGGAGGAGGAGCCUGCGUCCGAUUAGCUAGUUGGUGGGGUAAUGGCCCACCAAGGCGACGAUCGGUAGCCGGCCUGAGAGGGCGAUCGGCCACACUGGGACUGAGAUACGGCCCAGACUCCUACGGGAGGCAGCAGUGGGGAAUCUUGCGCAAUGGGCGAAAGCCUGACGCAGCGACGCCGCGUGGGGGACGAAGGCCUUCGGGUUGUAAACCCCUGUCAGGCGGAACGAAUCCCCCGAGGACGAAUACUCCUCGGGGUUGACGGUACCGCCAGAGGAAGCCCCGGCUAACUACGUGCCAGCAGCCGCGGUAAUACGUAGGGGGCUAGCGUUGCUCGGAUUUACUGGGCGUAAAGAGCGCGUAGGCGGCCAGGUAAGUCUGAUGUGAGAGCCCUCGGCUCAACCGAGGAUCCGCAUUGGAAACUACCUGGCUUGAGGCCAGGAGGGGAGGGUGGAAUUCCCGGUGUAGCGGUGAAGUGCGUAGAGAUCGGGAGGAACACCUGUGGCGAAGGCGGCCCUCUGGAAUGGUACUGACGCUGAGGCGCGAAAGCUGGGGGAGCGAACGGGAUUAGAUACCCCGGUAGUCCCAGCUGUAAACGAUGGGCGCUAGGUGUGGGAGGUAUUGACCCCUUCCGUGCC